ACACCUAAAUUAAGAAUCCUACAAGCACUUUAGUGUUUAUUUUAUUUAAUUUUAUUGUGGUCUAUCGCAUCGUGUAAGAUGGAGAAAAUGGAAAACCUAACUAAGGAUCAAGUGGAAGAUCAAACACACUCAUACUUUUGAACUUCAUGAUUUUCAUAUCACUCAAACUAUAGGGAAUGACGACAAGGAAAAAAAGUUGAUUCCACCGAUGUUUGUCAAGCACUUGGGAAAGUGGUUAGGUGAGAUUGCAACUUUGAGGCGACCGUCAGGUCAUCAAUGGAGGGUUCACAUACAUACGGAGAGAGAUGGCGCAUAUUUUAGCAACGGUUGGGAGACAUUUUAUAAGGACAAUGAUCUUGACAUUGGUCAAGUUGUACUCUAUAAAUAUGUUGGAGGCAUGGACUUUGAUGUCAAAAUUUUUAACAAAGAUGGA